AACGAACGCUGGCGGCAGGCUUAACACAUGCAAGUCGAGCGCCCCGCAAGGGGAGCGGCAGACGGGUGAGUAACGCGUGGGAACAUACCCUUUAGUACGGAAUAGCCUCGGGAAACUGGGAUUAAUACCGUAUACGCCUACGGGGAAGGAUUAUCGCUAAGGAUUGGCCGCGUUGGAUUAGCUAGUUGGUGAGGUAAUGGCUCACCAAGGCGACGAUCUAUAGCUGGUCUGAGAGGAUGAUCAGCCACACUGGGACUGAGACACGGCCCAGACUCCUACGGGAGGCAGCAGUGGGGAAUAUUGGACAAUGGGCGAAAGCCUGAUCCAGCCAUGCCGCGUGAGUGAUGAAGGCCCUAGGGUUGUAAAGCUCUUUCGCUAGAGAAGAUAAUGACGGUAUCUAGUAAAGAAGCCCCGGCUAACUUCGUGCCAGCAGCCGCGGUAAAGUCUGUACU
rnacentral:rRNA from 1 species